GGCGAGGGGCGGCCCCCGAGAAGGGCUAGGGGCUCGGGGCGCCGGCGGGCCGUCAGGCCUUCCGGAUGGGGACGCGACGCCAUGCAGCUGGCUGGGCCGAGAGGGGCGGCAGGCUGCAGGGGCCCCGCGCCCGUGUUAAGAGGGGUCUGGGGGCCGGUCUGGCCGGCCUGGCUCUCCCGGCUCCCCUCAGACCUCGGCGCCCCGGAAACGCACACUUGGGGCUCCGCCGUCUCCGCUGGGAGGACUGGAGCCCUUCUCGAGCAUCCCCGCCCGCACCCGAGCAUUGACCGGUGCCCAUUGUCAGCAAGUUCUUCGGCCCCCGCCUCAUUCAGAAAUAUUUGUUAAGGUCCAUUAAAUGAAAGUCACCACAGUUGAUCAUGUGAACAGUGUCAAGAAUCAGGCCGAACCUUCAAGGAGUUUAUGUUCUAAAACGGAAGCAUGGUGGUACCUGCUUGUGGAGGCUGAGGCGGAAGGAUCGCUUGAGCCCAGGACUUUGAGGCUGCAUAAUUGCAUUGACGCUAUCCAUAGAGUGCCUGCAAUUUCAAAUAUCAGAAAGGAUCGUACGAGCUAUGAUCAUGCCACUGCACUCCAGCCUGAACCACAGAGCAAGACCCUUUCUCUCAAUAAAGUGGAAGUUUGUUCAUUU
rnacentral:lncRNA from 1 species